rnacentral:misc_RNA from 1 species
UGAUUCUUGAUGCAUACGUGGACGGUUCAGAUGCGAGUUCUUCCUAACAUCCAAGGGCCGUAGAACUCAUUCACACUUCUUUUCUGAUUUUUGCUUCUACGAUUUGCAUAAACAGGAAUCCUUUUUUUUAACCUUUGAAAUUGUAAACAUAAACGCAAAUUCGAUCCUUUUAACGCUUACACGCAACAAUUCAUUGCUUUCCUCAUCCCUGAUAGAAUCCCUAAAGAGUUAAGUAGCUAAUAAGGCAAAGACACAGAGAGAGAAAAUGCCAGGCGAUAGGAAGAUAGGCGUGGCUAUGGACUUCUCGCAGAGCAGCAAGCAAGCUCUGAAAUGGGCCAUCGAUAACUUGGCAGACAAAGGGGACGCUCUUUAUAUCAUCCAUGUCAAUCCCAGCUCUCUUGACAAGUCUCGUAAUCAACUCUGGGCCAAGUCU